rnacentral:rRNA from 1 species
GACGAAGGGGGCUAGCGUUGUUCGGAAUUACUGGGCGUAAAGCGCGUGUAGGCGGCUUUGCAAGUCGGAUGUGAAAGCCCACGGCUCAACCGUGGAAGUGCAUCCGAAACUGCAUGGCUCGAGUCUCGGAGAGGAAGGUGGAAUGCUUGGUGUAGAGGUGAAAUUCGUAGAUAUCAAGCAGAACACCUGCGGCGAAGGCGGCCUUCUGGACGAUGACUGACGCUGAGACGCGAAAGCGUGGGGAGCAAACAGG